GCCCAGCGAGCUCAGUCGGUGGAGUAUGAGACUCUUAAUCUCAGGGUCAUGGGUUCAAGACCCACGCUGGGCG